rnacentral:rRNA from 1 species
ACGCCACACCUACGGAGGCAGCAGUGGGGAAUAUUGCACAAUGGGGGAAACCCUGAUGCAGCGACGCCGCGUGGAGGAAGAAGGUCUUCGGAUUGUAAACUCCUGUUGUUGGGGAAAAAGAGGAUGGUACCCAACAAGGAAGUGACGGCUAACUACGUGUCAGCAGCCGCGGUAAUCUGAGCGGGCUGGCAAGGC